CAGGGCAGGGACUUUGACCCUUGUGUUCGUCACUGUAUUCUCAAUGCCUAGAACAGACUUGGCACAGAUUGCAUGUGCCAACUGUAAACGCCUGACGGUUGAACGAAUGCAUUAGGAAAGGCUUCAGAAGGCUGUGACUUCAGGGGUUGCCAGGUGACCGGGCGUGCAGAAUGUAAAUAAACAUCUCACAUCAGAGUGAUCGUGAAGAUCGAGUGGGUAACGUGGCGAGUGCCGUGCAGUCCUCUGUACUUCGGGGACAACAGCACCAGCGUCACCCUCAAGCUUGUUGGAAACGCACCACUGAGGGCCCCACUCCAAACUCACUGCAUCAGAAGCUGCAUUUUAACAAGACUCCUGGAGAUUGGCCACACCUCGAGUUUUGAGAAGCGGUCCAAAUCCCUGUUUAUCUCUAAGCUCCAUACGAGAAGGAGCAGCUUUACUCUCAACUCGGCUCUGAGCCCAGAGCGAAGGGCAGGGAGACGGGCCAAAAAGCUCCUCAGCAAGACUUGUUCAUUCAUUCACCACGACUGGUCGAGUUCCUACACAUGCCAGGCCUUCACUGCACACUCGGGACACUGGAGUGACACCGGCAGUGCAGCUGUGUACCCUCGCCCGGCUGGACUUCACCUUCUAUUUGGGGGCAGCACACUCUGAAGACUGAAUUCUGCCAGUCUCACGGUGUGACCUCAGCAAGCCACUUGAUUCCCUGGGCUGCAGAGAUAACAGAAGGGGACAGACUA